UUACUUUCGCGCCACAUUGGUUUUUAACACAAGUUUCACGGUGUUAGAAUUAAUAGGGAAUCAGGUGUAAAUCCUGAGCAGUCCCGCUACUGUAAGUUCUGUAAACACACUUUCGCAUCUACAUGCCACUGUUUUUAGUGAAUAAAAAUGGGAAGGCCGUUGAAAGUGAGAACAAGCCAGGAGACCUGCCAAUGUAGAUACAUUUUA
rnacentral:ncRNA from 1 species